rnacentral:rRNA from 1 species
UACGUAGGGCGCAAGCGUUAUCCGGAAUUAUUGGGCGUAAAGAGCUCGUAGGCGGUUUGUCGCGUCUGCCGUGAAAGUCCGGGGCUCAACUCCGGAUCUGCGGUGGGUACGGGCAGACUAGAGUGAUGUAGGGGAGACUGGAAUUCCUGGUGUAGCGGUGAAAUGCGCAGAUAUCAGGAGGAACACCGAUGGCGAAGGCAGGUCUCUGGGCAUUAACUGACGCUGAGGAGCGAAAGCAUGAGGAGCGAACAGG